UAGGGAAUCUUCCACAAUGGACGGAAAGUCUGAUGGAGCAACGCCGCGUGAGUGAAGAAGGGUUUCGGCUCGUAAAACUCUGUUGUUAAAGAAGAACAUAUCUGAGAGUAACUGUUCAGGUAUUGACGGUAUUUAACCAGAAAGCCACGGCUAACUACGUGCCAG
rnacentral:rRNA from 1 species